rnacentral:lncRNA from 1 species
UUUUUAUGUGGAAGCCCAGCCCAAAUUUAAGGACUUCGCCCAUACCCGGUCCAAUGACCCAAAAUGAAGGAAGAAUCUCGAAGCUUGAAGUGGUUUUGAGAAAACGCGUUUUCAGUUUUAAAAUAACAACUUAUACUAGAUUUUUGACACUUGGCAAAAUGGAGACCGUUGGAUCAAAAUGGGGCAUCUCUCUUAUAAAAGGGAACUCUAGGGUUUCAGGCGCUCUCUCUCUCUCGCAGCUUCUAUAUUUUUCAUAUUGUUCUCUCUGUAAUGAGCGAUUCUCUCUUGGAUCUUUGUGUAGAUUUCUGUAAAGAGAUUGAAUCUUUAUGAACUCUUGUGUGAGUUCAAUUCGGAGUUGAGGGUUUUGAUAGUUGCUGUGGUUGGAACUGUGUGUUCCAGUUGUAAUCGAAGUUUGUGGUAUUUGGCUGGUGAUUUUUAGUGGAUUUGAGCCUAUUCCUUAUGGAUGCUCAACGGGGACUAGGCGAUUUGUUAAAUCGCUGAACCU